AUCGCUUCUCAGCCUUUUGGCUAAGAUCAAGUGUAGUAAAACCAGAAGCCUUUCAUUUUCACCUGAUCCUGGGCUCUGAAAAUUAUGUAACCAGUCCUGCCUGAGAGGUCUAGGGGAGCAACUUAAUGAUUUUGUUUCUCUUUAGACAACUACUAAAAGUUUUACUUGUCAUUUGUCUAAAAGUGAGAGAUUAA